UACGGGGGGGGUAAGCGUUGUUCGGAAUUACUGGGCGUAAAGGGCUCGUAGGCGGCCAACUAAGUCGGACGUGAAAUCCCUCAGCUUAACUGGGGAACUGCGUCCGAUACUGGAUGGCUUGGAUUUGGGAGAGGGAUGCGGAAUUCCAGGUGUAGCGGUGAAAUGCGUAGAUAUCUGGAGGAACACCGGUGGCGAAGGCGGCCUUCUGGACAGUGACUGACGCUGAGACGCGAAAGCGUGGGGAGCAAACAGG
rnacentral:rRNA from 1 species